GAUGAACGCUGGCGGCGUGCCUAAUACAUGCAAGUCGAGCGAACAGACGAGGAGCUUGCUCCUCUGACGUUAGCGGCGGACGGGUGAGUAACACGUGGAUAACCUACCUAUAAGACUGGGAUAACUUCGGGAAACCGGAGCUAAUACCGGAUAAUAUAUUGAACCGCAUGGUUCAAUAGUGAAAGACGGUUUUGCUGUCACUUAUAGAUGGAUCCGCGCCGCAUUAGCUAGUUGGUAAGGUAACGGCUUACCAAGGCGACGAUGCGUAGCCGACCUGAGAGGGCGAUCGGCCACACUGGAACUGAGACACGGUCCAGACUCCUACGGGAGGCAGCAGUAGGGAAUCUUCCGCAAUGGGCGAAAGCCUGACGGAGCAACGCCGCGUGAGUGAUGAAGGUCUUCGGAUCGUAAAACUCUGUUAUUAGGGAAGAACAAAUGUGUAAGUAACUAUGCACGUCUUGACGGUACCUAAUCAGAAAGCCACGGCUAACUACGU
rnacentral:rRNA from 1 species